rnacentral:lncRNA from 1 species
GGAGUGGUGGUAUACAGGGUUGAAAAGUCAAAAGUUUUGAUAGAACUUAUUUCAGAAAAGACCGAGAUUAAAAAUUAUCUAGAAGUUCUUUGGAAUUUUUAAGAAUCCACAUAUAGUUAAUACCACUACGCGAGUAAACAGUUUCACAGUAUUUCUGAAGACCCUUUCACUGCGGACAGAAUUUUAGUCAAUCUAAUGGUCAAUCUUUAGUGGAACAUGCAGGUGAGCCGGCA